rnacentral:rRNA from 1 species
AACGAACGCUGGCGGCGUGCCUAACACAUGCAAGUCGUGCGAGAAAGUUCCUUCGGGAGCGAGUAAAGCGGCGCACGGGUGAGUAACACGUAGGUAACCUGCCCCCCAGUCUGGAACAACUAGAGGAAACUCUAGCUAAUGCCGGAUGAGACCACGAUCCCUUCGGGGGUUGCGGCCAAAGAUGGCCUCUACUUGUAAGCUAUCGCUGAGGGAUGGGCCUGCGGGCCAUUAGCUUGUUGGUGAGGUAACGGCUCACCAAGGCUGUGAUGGCUAGCUGGUCUGAGAGGAUGACCAGCCACACUGGGACUGAGACACGGCCCAGACUCCUACGGGAGGCAGCAGUGGGGAAUAUUGCGCAAAUGGGCGAAAGCCUGACGCAGCGACG